UACGUAGGGUGCGAGCGUUGUCCGGAAUUAUUGGGCGUAAAGAGCUCGUAGGCGGUGUGUCACGUCGGCCGUGAAAACUUGCAGCUUAACUGUGGGCGUGCGGUCGAUACGGGCAUCACUGGAGUUCGGCAGGGGAGACUGGAAUUCCUGGUGUAGCGGUGAAAUGCGUAGAUAUCGGGAGGAACACCAGUGGCGAAGGCGGCUCCUGGACCGACACUGACGCUGAGGCGCGAAAGCUAGGGGAGCAAACGGG
rnacentral:rRNA from 1 species